rnacentral:rRNA from 1 species
AUUGAACGCUGGCGGCAGGCCUAACACAUGCAAGUCGAGCGGAUGAAGGGAGCCUGCUCCUGGAUUCAGCGGCGGACGGGUGAGUAAUGCCUAGGAAUCUGCCUGGUAGUGGGGGAUAACGUCCGGAAACGGGCGCUAAUACCGCAUACGUCCUGAGGGAGAAAGUGGGGGAUCUUCGGACCUCACGCUAUCAGAUGAGCCUAGGUCGGAUUAGCUAGUUGGUGGGGUAAAGGCCUACCAAGGCGACGAUCCGUAACUGGUCUGAGAGGAUGAUCAGUCACACUGGAACUGAGACACGGUCCAGACUCCUACGGGAGGCAGCAGUGGGGAAUAUUGGACAAUGGGCGAAAGCCUGAUCCAGCCAUGCCGCGUGUGUGAAGAAGGUCUUCGGAUUGUAAAGCACUUUAAGUUGGGAGGAAGGGGAGUAAGUUAAUACCUUGCUGUUUUGACGUUACCAACAGAAUAAGCACCGGCUAACUUCGUG